CCUACGGGUGGCAGCAGUGGGGAAUAUUGCACAAUGGGGGAAACCCUGAUGCAGCGACGCCGCGUGAGUGAAGAAGUAUCUCGGUACGUAAAGCCCUAUCAGCAGGGAAGAAAAUGACGGUACCUGACUAAGAAGCCCCGGCUAACUACGUGCCAGCAGCCGCGGUAAUACGUAGGGGGCAAGCGUUAUCCGGAUUUACUGGGUGUAAAGGGGGCGUAGACGGCAGCACAAGUCUGGAGUGAAAUCCCGGGGCUUAACCCCGGGACUGCUUUGGAAACUGUGUGGCUGGAGUGCAGGAGGGGCAGGCGGAAUUCCUGGUGUAGCGGUGAAAUGCGUAGAUAUUAGGAGGAACACCGGUGGCGAAGGCGGCUUGCUGGACUGCAACUGACGUUGAGGCUCGAAAGCGUGGGGAGCAAACAGGAUUAGAUACCCUAGUAGUC
rnacentral:rRNA from 1 species